UACGGGGGGGGCAAGCGUUGUUCGGAAUUAUUGGGCGUAAAGAGCUCGUAGGCGGACUGUCACGUCUGCUGUGAAAAGCUAGGGCUUAACCCUGGCCUUGCAGUGGAUACGGGCAGACUAGAGGUAGGUAGGGGAGAAUGGAAUUCCCGGUGUAGCGGUGAAAUGCGCAGAUAUCGGGAGGAACACCGGUGGCGAAGGCGGGUCUCUGGGCCGAUACUGACGCUGAGGAGCGAAAGCGUGGGGAGCGAACAGG
rnacentral:rRNA from 1 species